UACGGAGGGUGCAAGCGUUAUCCGGAUUCACUGGGUUUAAAGGGAGCGUAGGUGGGUUGGUAAGUCAGUGGUGAAAUCCCCGAGCUUAACUUGGGAACUGCCAUUGAUACUAUCAGUCUUGAAUACUGUGGAAGGUUAGCGGGAAUAUGUUCAUGUAGCGGUGAAAAUGCUUAGAUAUGAACAUAGAACACCAAAUUGCGAAAGGCAGCUGGCUACACAAUUAUUGACACUGAGGCUCGAAAAAGCGUGGGGGGAUCAAAACAGGA
rnacentral:rRNA from 1 species